rnacentral:rRNA from 1 species
CCUACGGGAGGCAGCAGUAGGGAAUAUUGCUCAAUGGGGGAAACCCUGAAGCAGCAACGCCGCGUGGAGGAUGAAGGUUUUCGGAUUGUAAACUCCUUUUGUUAGAGAAGAUAAUGACGGUAUCUAACGAAUAAGCACCGGCUAACUCCGUGCCAGCAGCCGCGGUAAUACGUAGGGUGCAAGCGUUACUCGGAAUCACUGGGCGUAAAGAGCGCGUAGGCGGGAUAGCAAGUCAGAUGUGAAAUCCUAUGGCUUAACCAUAGAACUGCAUUUGAAACUGUUAUUCUAGAGUAUGGGAGAGGUAGGUGGAAGUCGUGGUGUAGGGGUGAAAUGCGUAGAGAUCAAGAGGAAUACUCAUUGCGAAGGCGACCUGCUAGAACAUAACUGACGCUGAUGCGCGAAAGCGUGGGGAGCAAACAGGAUUAGAUACCCUGGUAGUC